rnacentral:rRNA from 1 species
GACGAACGCUGGCGGCGUGGAUUAGGCAUGCAAGUCGAACGGUAUGGACCUUUCGGGGUUCAGAGAGUGGCGAACGGGUGAGUAACACGUAGGUAAUCUACCCUCAAGACGGGGACAACCCAGGGAAACUUGGGCUAAUACCGGAUGUGUGUAGUGGCUAUUUUUCUGAUUAUCAUUAUUUACGUAAGUGAGUAAUAAUAAGAAGGGAAAGUGGUUAUUACAUAAAAGGUGGCGUAAGCUGCCGCUUGGGGAUGAGCCUGCGUCCUAUUAGUUAGUUGGUGAGGUAACGGCUUACCAAGGCGAUGAUAGGUAGGCGGCCUUAACGGGUGGUCGCCCACACUGGGAUUGAGAUACGGCCCAGACUCCUACGGGAGGCAGCAGUCGAGAAUAGUCUACAAUGGACGGAAGUCUGAUAGUGCGACGCCGCGUGAACGAAGAAUCCCUUCGGGGUGUAAAGUUCUUUUAUACGUGAGCAGUGUCCUUUAUAUUAAUAGUAUAAGGGGAGAGAUAUUAGCGUAUGAAUAAGCAACGGCUAACUCCGUGCCAGCAGCCGCGGUAACACGGGGGUUGCGAGCGUUGUCCGGAAUUACUAGGCGUAAAGUGCAGGUAGGCGGAUAAAUAAGUUUAAGGUUAAAGGCUACGGCUUACCCGUAGUAAGGCGUUAGAUACUGUUUAUCUGGAAUGCGGUUGAGGGAGACAGAAUUCCUGGUGUAGCGGUGGAAUGCGCAGAGAUCAGGAGGAAUACCGAAGGCGAAGGCAGUCUUCUAAGCCGAUAUUGACGCUAAACUGCGAAGGUGUGGGAUCAAACAGGAUUAGAUACCCUGGUAGUCCACACAGUAAACGAUAAUCACUAGUGUUGGUCUUAGAGGAUUCAGUGCCGAGCUAACGCGAUAAGUGAUUCGCUGGGAGUACGAUCGCAAGUUGAACUCAA